UUGACAUGCGAUCGCGCGUCGACAUCGGAUGGCACACUCGUGCCUUAUGUGCCACCGAAGCCCCGAAGUGCUCUGGCAUAUACCUCCACAUGUUUCCCUUCAGUAGGAAAUUGCUGCAGGCGGACCAGCGCACUGGAAUUGUACUGGCGAAGCCACAAGCAACUCAAAGAAUCUGUUUAAUUGUUGCACUUUGAACAGUCAUGCUUCUACAAAGGCCACAGCAGAAAAACAGCCUGAUGCCGAGUAUUUCUGUGCCACGAAGUAAUCAAGAGGCGAGUGCCUAAUGCGGACGAAAUCGAGCUCUUUCAUCGAGACUUAGAACGACAGAAAGCUGAGCUAGUUGACAAUGCCUACGCCUAGCCACAGCAGCUCCCUCAUACAGACUCCGCAAGCCAAGAGGCCGUGGAGGCAAAGGCAGGCAGCCAGCACACCCCGAACAGCCACCUUGACUGCGGGUGUGUCACCCUAGUCACCAAGGAAACAUUUGAGGGAAAGCAACAGGCAAUGUGAACAGCCACUUCUCCAUCUAAACAAUACUCUUUCUCUCGGAUGACUCCUACGCCUCGCCAUGCCAGCACACUUGUGCACAAAGAUGCCGCGGAGGCACGUGCAGGUCAGAGGCAAGAAGCAGUGACACUGGUUUCGACAUUCACCCAAUUUUUUUUACUUACACUGAGGCAGCCAGCACACCUCGAACAGCCACCUUGACUGCAGGUGUGUCAGUAGAUUCCUGUCGUACAUAUGCUCAUAAUAAACUUGA